UAACUGCGAUAACUAGUGUGAACUGCAGAAACAUUGAACACUAAAAUUUCGAAUGCACAUUGCGCCAUUGGAUUUACGUCCUCUGGCACGCCUGGUUCAGGGUCGUUACCCAAAUACACAAGAUAAAUUGUGUGUCUAAUAUCGCGAAGUCACAUUUGUGUUAUGUGUGUAUUCGUAAGCUAAAUUAUAUGAGAGUACAUUUGUUCACUCAGUGAUGCGGGUGUGAGGUCAGUAGAAGUUGUUUAUUCAACCGACCUUCACCAUGAUGGCAGCUGUGUUUUGCUGCCAGCGCUUCCACUGGGUGAGCAAUUGGCUCGCCAUCAUUGUGUGAAUAUGGAUGGCAAUUCAACUCAAUAUUUCGACCUGAACUCAGACGUGAGUACCCGCUGAACUUAA
rnacentral:misc_RNA from 1 species